AUACGGAGGGUGCAAGCGUUACUCGGAAUCACUGGGCGUAAAGCGCGCGCAGGCGGCUUGAUAAGUUGGAUGUGAGAGCCUACGGCUCAACCGUAGAACUGCAUCCAAAACUGUCAAGCUAGAGUCUGGGAGGGGAAGAUGGAAUUAGUUGUGUAGGGGUAAAAUCCGUAGAGAUAACUAGGAAUACCAAAAGCGAAGGCGAUCUUCUGGGACAGUACUGACGCUGAGGCGCGAAAGCGUGGGGAGCAAACAGGAUUAGAAACCCCUGUAGUCC
rnacentral:rRNA from 1 species